rnacentral:sRNA from 1 species
AGAGGCCCCGCGUGUGUGCCCUCGCCCUGCCGGAGCCGGGAAAAUGGAGGCUGUGAUUGAGAAGGAAUGCAGCGCGCUCGGAGGCCUCUUCCAGACCAUCAUCAGCGACAUGAAGGGGAGCUAUCCAGUUUGGGAAGAUUUCAUAAACAAAGCAGGAAAGCUGCAGUCCCAGCUUCGGACAACAGUAGUAGCAGCAGCUGCCUUCUUGGACGCCUUUCAGAAAGUGGCUGACAUGGCCACCAACACACGUGGCACUAUCAUGGGACCACAAAAAGCAAUAUGACUCUCCUUGUCCUAGAGGGGCUUACAAUUGAGUGGGGAAAAUGAGAAGUAUAAAUAGAGAAUUUCAACAUAG